rnacentral:rRNA from 1 species
UACGUAGGUCCCGAGCGUUGUCCGGAUUGAUUGGGCGUAAAGCGAGCGCAGGCGGGUUAGAUAAGUCUGAAGUUAAAGGCUGUGGCUUAACCAUAGUACGCUUUGGAAACUGUUUAACUUGAGUGCAGAAGGGGAGAGUGGAAUUCCAUGUGUAGCGGUGAAAUGCGUAGAUAUAUGGAGGAACACCGGUGGCGAAAGCGGCUCUCUGGUCUGUAACUGACGCUGAGGCUCGAAAGCGUGGGAGCAAACAGGAUUAGAUACCCUGGUAGUCCACGCCGUAAACGAUGAGUGCUAGGUGUUGGGUCCUUUCCGGGACUCAGUGCCGCAGUUAACGCAUUAAGCACUCCGCCUGGGGAGUACGACCGCAAGGUUGAAACUCAAAGGAAUUGACGGGGGCCCGCACAAGCGGUGGAGCAUGUGGUUUAAUUCGAAGCAACGCGRAGAACCUUACCAGGUCUUGRCAUCCCGGUGCCCGUCCUAGAGAUAGGAUUUUGCUUCGGCACACCGGUGACAGGUGGUGCAUGGUUGUCGUCAGCUCGUGUCGUGAGAUGUUGGGUUAAGUCCCGCAACGAGCGCAACCCUUAUUGUUAGUUGCCAUCAUUAAGUUGGGCACUCUAGCGAGACUGCCGGUAAUAAACCGGAGGAAGGUGGGGAUGACGUCAAAUCAUCAUGCCCCUUAUGACCUGGGCUACACACGUGCUACAAUGGCUGGUACAACGAGUCGCAAGUCGGUGACGGCAAGCUAAUCUCUUAAAGCCAGUCUCAGUWCGGAUUGUAGGCUGCAACUCGCCUACAUGAAGUCGGAAUCGCUAGUAAUCGCGGAUCMGCACGCCGCGGUGAAUACGUUCCCGGGCCU